rnacentral:rRNA from 1 species
AACGUAGGGGGCGAGCGUUGUCCGGAAUUACUGGGCGUAAAGGGCGUGUAGGCGGUUUAGAAAGUCAGCUGUGAAAACCCAGGGCUCAACCCUGGACCUGCAGUUGAAACUUCUAGACUUGAGUGCAGGAGAGGAGAGUGGAAUUCCCGGUGUAGCGGUGACAUGCGUAGAUAUCGGGAGGAACACCAGUGGCGAAGGCGACUCUCUGGCCUGUAACUGACGCUGAGGCGCGAAAGCGUGGGGAGCAAACAGG